rnacentral:rRNA from 1 species
AACGCGAAGAACCUUACCUGGGUUUGACAUGCACAGGACGCUGGUAGAGAUAUCAGUUCCCUUGUGGCCUGUGUGCAGGUGGUGCAUGGCUGUCGUCAGCUCGUGUCGUGAGAUGUUGGGUUAAGUCCCGCAACGAGCGCAACCCUUGUCUCAUGUUGCCAGCGGGUAAUGCCGGGGACUCGUGAGAGACUGCCGGGGUCAACUCGGAGGAAGGUGGGGAUGACGUCAAGUCAUCAUGCCCCUUAUGUCCAGGGCUUCACACAUGCUACAAUGGCCGGUACAAAGGGCUGCGAUGCCGUGAGGUUAAGCGAAUCCUUUAAAGCCGGUCUCAGUUCGGAUCGGGGUCUGCAACUCGACCCCGUGAAGUCGGAGUCGCUAGUAAUCGCAGAUCAGCAACGCUGCGGUGAAUACGUUCCCGGGCCUUGUA